AUUGUUGCCAAAAGACUAAUAUGAGUGAUAUAUAUCUAUAUUUAUUCAUUAUUAAGACAAGUGAUAAAUUGGAAUUUAAAGAAGAUAUUUGGGAAUAAGACAUUUACCCUCAAAUGGUAACUUCGUAGAACAUCUGGAGCACUUAUAUUAACCUUAGAAUUAGAUUUGAGAACUAGAAGAGCGACUCCCUGGGAUAAAAUGUAUCCCAAACGGCUAGGCAAUCGGACUCCGGCAAAUCUCGCAUCUCAAGAUCGUGGCUAAUGUUGAAGCACUUCUCCACGGCAUUUUCUUUAAGCUGGACGGCUUCCCAUUUGGCAGAUCCCAGUUCUGGGCAAUUUGGAUUCCCACUGGAGGCAAACGACGUCCACAUGCCAACCAUUCUCUCAAUGGUUUUGUAUUCCAUCGAUG
ensembl:ncRNA asRNA:CR46129 antisense RNA:CR46129